CUCUGAUCUCCUCUCCUCGGGGCCCCGCCCCUCUGAUUCCAGUCUCCUCGGCGCCCCGCCCCUCUGGAUCUCCGUCUCCUCGGCGCCCCACCCCUCUGAUCUCGGUCUCCUCGGCGCCCCACCCCUCUGGAGUUCCGUCUCCUCGGGGCCCCGCCCCUCUGGAUCUCGUCUCCUCGGCGCCCCGCCCCUCUGAUCUCGGUCUCCUCGGCGCCCCGCCCCUCUGGAUCCCCGUCUCCUCGGCGCCCCGCCCCUCUGGAUCUCCGUCUCCUCGGGGCCCCGCCCCUCUGGAUCUCCGUCUCCUCGGGGCUCCGCCCCUCUGAUCUCCUGCACGCACCCGGCCUCGCCUGAAAAGCCCCACGUACAGCAAAGCGGCCGUGUCUUGGUGGCCUCUGCCUGGGGCGCUAUGGGUGGCCUGUCUAUGCCUCAGUUUCCCCAUUCUUGAUGAGAGGGAGCUGGGGUCGCUACUGGUCACUCGGGCCCCAGGCAGACCAAGGCUCACUUCUGUCCACUCCCUGGCCCCAUUCCCAGGAAUCCCACCGGUUCCUGGCCGGGGUCUGGAAUCUGUUCUCCCAGUCCAGGACCUACCCUCCCCUCCACUUCCUGCCUGCAAGCUCUGUGGUCCUUCCUUGUCUUGAGUCCAGGGUUCCCUGUGCUCCCAGUCCAGCCUCCCUACUCAGGGCCGAGGGCACCAGGAGGAUGGUCGUUGCAAAAGAAUAUGGGAGGCCGGGUGCGGCGGCUCACGCCUGUAAUCCCAGUACUUCUGGGAGGCCAAGGGGGGCGGAUGACUUGAGGCCGUGCAACACCUGCCAGCACCAGCAUUUGACACGGAAUCGAAGAAAACAGGCAGGACAUACCCUGACUACACUAGUACAAGUCAUCGGCGUCUCGGGGUCCUGGGUUUUAGAAAUCACACUGUCAGGGAGGGCUGAUGGGGUCCUGGGUUGGAGGCUGGAAGUGGAGGAAUCGAGGCAUAGGCAGAAACUUGAAGGAAGGGUCAGCCGAGCUGGCCAGAAGGGGGCUCCUCGCCACGGUCCCCAGGGAAGCACUUUGCUCAUGGGCCCCGGCCCUGAGAGAGGAGCUCCUGCCUCUUCCCACUCGGAGAGGGCUGACAGGAGAGGCUUGGCCUGGUGUUUCCUGAUGAGAUAGCGGGCACGUUCCGGGAAGCGGUGAGCAGGCCCAGCAGACAUCAGAUGUGGUGCUUCCUGUCUCCUGUGAAUGCGCCUGGCCCUUGAGGGGGGUCUGGGAUGGAGAGUCGGGGGAGGGGAACCCCACUCGCCCUUCUCCUUGUUGUUCUUGGCAGCUGGACUUGGGCAAUUGUGCCUCCACCCUCUGGAGGGGCCUCCCCCUGUGCUGGCUGCAGAUCAGAGGGGCGAUGGGGAGGGAUCCACCGGUCCAGGCGGGGGCUCACCUUCCAGACCCGGGCGUGGGCGAGAGGGGUGCAUGGGAGGACGCCCGAUGCCUCAGGGCCCCCGGUCAGCAGCGAGGCACAGACUCUCCUCUGGGCGGUGAUGGCCCUGCACGAGGUCCGUGUGCCGUCUGCCUGCACAGGGAGAGGAAAGGAUCACGCGACCAUGGGUACGUUGGCCACCUGAAGGUUGAGUCCCGCAGCCUAGAGACUGGAGCGUGGGGACCAGGAGGAGCUUCUUAGCGGAACUGGGCUGGGGCUCAUGCAGCCCUCCAGGAGCCCCCGACGCGACGCCCUGGCUCAUCCCGGGUGAAGAGGCUGCUGAGUCUGAACUGAUGACAGUGGACGGGUGGCCGCCGGUUCCCAACGCAUGGUUGGGCCUGGAACCCAGGUGACUCUGGGAGAUGUGGUCACAGUCACAGCCGUCUGUGGGCCUUUGGGUUCAAAACAGCGCGAGUCACAGGAGACAGAAGGGAAUCUGAGCUUGCGAUUGCUCAUUCUUGUCACCCUCCUGGCUCUGGGACACCUCUGCCAUCUCCUACCAAGGGUACCCCAUUCCUGGCGAGUUGGAAAGUGGCCUCAUGGGCAGAAAACGAGGGCAAAGGGAGCUGCGUGCUGUGAGAGACGUCCCCGCACCCACCCUCCCCACCAGCUCCCUUGGGCCUUUCCUCCCUCCCAGCCCCACCCACAGCCGGGUGGCUCCCUUCACUGUCUCUCCUGGGUUUAACUCAGAGGCUGGCGAGCAGGGGCUGACCAGUGUGUGUCGGAGACUCUCCGAGUGGCCAGCACGGGCAGGGAGCUCAUAGGCUUGGCCCUGAGACCAGGUCCUGUCUGAGAAGGAGGCAGGUCCUGUCUGAGAAGAAGGACCCCCACCCCUCCUGCCUGGGACCCUGCCUUAGGCUCACUCUAAUGACCUAAUUUCAAUUUGAUUGAAUGCAAAUCUGAAUUUGCUAGAAGACCUGAUUUCAUCUUUCCGGGUUCAGUAAACAUGACAUUCUCCGUGGGGGUUUAUUUGUGGAACUCCCAGUCAGAGCUGCUGCCCCAGCCCAGCAGGGCUCAGCGACGUGCACUGGUUUUAGGAGUAAAUCCGAAGCAACAGAAGCGUUCGCACUGGCUCUGGGUGCAGCCUGCAUCUUCAGCCCUGGGGCACUGAUGCUGGGCAGCUUCUCGGCUUCACUCGGGAAGGGACUCAGGAGCGAGGUGGUGGGGAAGCCAGCAGCUUGGCUGAGGCGGCAGUGGAGGUGGUCCAGCUCCGCGACUGCUCCCACAGAGCAGGGCUGCCGCUCGGGCAGUGUGCAGAGUGCAGCCGCUUGGGGCCAACUUGCCAUCAUAUGUAUAACCACUUUUAAUGACAUGCUAAUUAGGGGGCGGGUUAUUCAGAUAUAGCUGGAGGAUGGGCAGUUGCUUCCAGGUGUUGCCAAGGCAGUGAGAGCAACGGGAACUGCCCUUGGCGCCUCUUCCAGCUUUGGCCUGUCUUUGGUCGGGUCCGGGGACCAGGCUUGCCUACCACGUUUUCUGUGUCAAAACAGUCACGCAGAAAUAAACAGUGACAGCACUGUGAUGAGAAAAGCGAAGAAACAACUUAUUUCAACUUUCUGACUUUUGUUGUGGCCUCAGCACUUUUGUUUGUGCUUAACAUUGAAAACAGUGAGGCAGUGUAAACUGUGAGAUGUGAUUUUUCAUUUGGUAAGUGCAAAUUUUAGUUCAUUCAUGAAACCAGUUUUGAAGAUCUUUAAAAUAGAAUUUAGUCGACCUUAAGAAUUGUUAAUUGUUUACAACUAAAGACCAAAAAUCCAAGAGAAUAAAGCGUUGCACCAGUGGUAGGGGUUUGUAGUUGCCUAAAUUGUACCUUUUACAGAUGUUUCAUUUUAUUAAAACUCACUAGUCACUGGAUCUUCUAUUCAACAUGGUGAUGGGAUGAAAUUAUGUAUGACAACUGUGCUCCCUGAAAAGACAUGUUUGCGUCUGAUCCCCUGGGGUCUGUGAAUGUGGCCGUAUUUGGAAACAGGGUCUCUGUAGACAUAAUCAAGUUAGGAUGACAUCAUGAGGACAGGCCCUAAUCCAGUAUGACUGGUGUCUUUCCGAGAAGAAAACAGAGACACAGAGGGCGAGACCCACGUGAAGGCAGAGGCAGAGAUUGCAGCACUGUGGCCAAAGGCCAGGAGUGUCCAAACCACCAGAAGCUGAAAGAGGCAGGGCAGGGUCCCCCGAGAGUGGUCGUGGGGAGCUCCCUCAGGCAGAUACCUCGCGGUCCUGCAACUCCUCGAUCGCAGACUCUGGGCUCCAGAGCUGUGAGACAGUUCAAUUCUGUUGUUUUAAGCCACCUUGUUUGUGGUCAUUUGUGCCAGCAGCCCCAGGACGGUCACACGUGCACCAUUCACUGCUGUAUUGGGUUAGACCCUUGCACUGAGGGCUUUGGGAACCUGACUGGGUUGGCUGCUGGACAGGGGACUGUGAGGGCUGCGGGGGGUGUCGGCGCAGGAGUGGAAGGUGCCCCUGCUGGGAUGGGGGUCCCUCUGUCCCCUUCUCCUUCUGGAGAGAGGGCCCUCAUGGGGCUGCCCAGGACACAGAGCUACUUGUAAAAUCCUGCCCCCAUUCCAGCCUGGGGCUCCUGCUGGGGGCAGGGUCCAGGAGCUUCGGGACAACAUAUGGACUCAGGGCCCGAGGUGGCCUUUAUGAUAUCCAGGUCUCAAAGGAGGGGAUCCCGGGGAGCUUGGGAUGCGGCUCAUCCCCAGCCUGAGUCUUCUUCCUUCACUGUCACCUGUUGCCCCUCUGGGAGCUGCCGUUGAGAAUGAGGAACGUUCCAGGUGGUCUGUGCCAGCAACACCACUGCAGGCUCGGGGGCGGGGGGAGACGGGCACGGAGUGUCACACACAGGUGCUGGACAGGAAGUGGGCUGAGGGCCAGCGCAGGAGGUGGGGGGCAGACAGGGAGGGGGCGUUGCCCAGGUGCUGGACGGGAAAUGGGCUGAGGGCAAGUGCAGGAGGUGGGGGGCAGACGGGGAGGGGGCAUUGCACAGGUGCUGGACGGGAAAUGGGCUGAGGGCAAGCGCAGGAGGUGGGGGGCAGACGGGGAGGGGGUGUUGCACAGGUGCUGGACGGGAAAUGGGCUGAGGGCAAGUGCAGGAGGUGGGGUGCAGACGGGGAGGGGGCGUUGCACGGGUGCUGGACAGGAAGUGGGCUGAGGGCAAGUGCAGGGGGUGGAGUGGCCACUGGACCUGGCUGACCAGAGCAGAGAAGGUCUAUGAAGAGAGAUGGGAGAGGAAGAUGCAGAAGGAUUUAAAAAUAGGGCUUUGUAAUUUUCAAACAGCAUACAGUAUGCUAUGAAAGAAAGGUUAGAAAAAUUUUUUAAAGUUAGCUAAAAUCCCAUCACCUGGAGAUAAACACAGAUGACAUUUUAAAGUUGCACCCGAGUUAAACAGUGGCUCUGAGCAUCCUCAGAAGAUGAGGCACUCUCUAGUUUUCUGAGUGGGGAGUUUAGUGACGAAGCUGUUGCUUCGGGAGGAGGACGAGGGCAGUGUGGGCACUGGUGGGCGUAGGGGGGACGGGGCUCUGGGUGAGGACAAGCAGAGGGAGGCUCACAGUGCCACAGGCAGGUCCCAGCCUCUGCCUUCAGGACAGACCAGACCCCUCAGCCUCUGAACUGUGUUCGGGCAAACGGGAUUACGACUCUGAGUGACUGGAAGGCCCCGCUUGGUGCUGAGUGCACUGGCACCCAUGUUAUGUCUGUGGCACAAGCGCUCGAUGAGGUCUGCACGAUCACUGCAGAUGAUCACUGCACCAUCAUUCCUCGCUGCACGAUCCUUCCUCGCUGCACGAUCCUUCCUCGCUGCAGGAUCCUUCCUCGCUGCACGAUCAUUCCUGGUUGCACGAUCCUUCCUCGCUGCACGAUCCUUCCUCGCUGCAUGAUGAUUCCUUGCUGCACGAUCCUUCCUCACUGCACGAUCCUUCCUCGCUGCACGAUCAGUCCUCGCUGCAGGAUCAGUCCUCACUGCACGAUCCUUCCUCGCUGCAUGAUCCUUCCUCACUGCAUGAUGAUUCCUUGCUGCACGAUCCUUCCUCACAGCACGAUCCUUCCUCGCUGCACCAUCCUUCCUCGCUGCACGAUCCUUCCUCGCUGCACGAUCCUUCCUCGCUGCACGAUCCUUCCUCGCUGCACGAUCCUUCCUCGCUGCAUGAUCCUUCCUUGCUGCACAAUCAUUCCUCGCUGCACCAUUAUUCCUCACUGCACAAGGGAGGAAACUAUAGCACAGGGAGGGUGAGCCACUCGCCCAGGGCCACAUAGCUGUGAGGGGAGAACUAGGAAUUCUCAUCCAGCCUUCAGGAAAAUUACAUGUGGACUGGAUGUGACGGAUCUUGAGCCACGCUGACAAUUGAGUCCCUGUCCCUCAGUGGGUUUCAGAAGAGAGGCCUCCCCUCUCCCACAUCCCAGGAGCUCAGAGGCCCUGGGAUGGGCCGACAGUUCUUGGCCAGGUGGCUGCUCCUGCGGUCACAGCACUUGGAGGUGCUGGCCUGCGUGCAGACGCCCCCUGUGCCUGUGGGGUCCUCUCCGGGCCUGGCCUGGCCUCAGUCCCACUGGCCACCCUCGCUCGGGGAUCGCUAGGGGUCCUUGGACCUCAGACCAUGCAGGGCCUCCCUUUGCAGAACAGGAAAAUAGGACGGCCACCCUCAGGCCACCGUCCAUGAGCAUCACAGGGGCAGGUUCUUAUCUCUGGGCUGGACGUGUCAAGGCUGGGCUUGGGGGCCAGAAGCUUCCCAGCAGGCCUCCCACUGGCCACAAGACACAAGCAGCCCCUCAGCCCUGCAGCCACGUCCUCUCUGACAGGGCCCCUCUUGCCCCAAGCCCAGCCGGGCCACCGUGGCCAGCUCCACACACACAUCUGGCUGAGCACUCACACCAGGCUGCGGGGUGGUGUCACGGCCCAGGAAUGCAGGAAGACGUCUGGGGCUCUGGCAGAGAGGCAUGGCCAUGCGCCAAGAAUGUGCCUUGUAGAGACAUAAUUAUGCAUUGGGGGAAUACGGCGUAACAAACCCGGUGGAUGCCACCGACUCCACUUACUUUACUGAGAGCUGAGAGGACAGCAAAGUGCGGCACUGACCCUCAGGAGGGGAGGGCGCUGGCUGGUGCCCACCGUCCUGCAGAGGACUGAGGGAUGCGUGGGCAUGGGUGGGCACAACCGUGGGGGCGCUGGCCUGGGGGAGGAGGAAGGAGGCCGGGCGAGGGCGUGGGCAGCGCUGUCCUGGCUGAUGGCUGAGGAGCCAGGGCGCGGCCGCAAGUGCGUGGCAGCGUGGCAGGGCGGCUGAACGACCCCAUUGUGUGGAGUGAGGCCGAAAGGCCAAGUGGGACGGGCAGGGAAAGAAGCACAUUUCAUAACUUCAGUCCACUGUGAGAGGACUGCCUGCCCCUUUUAGAAAACUUGGAAAUCACAGCAAGUCUCCAGCAGGGAAACAACGCCAUGGGGGAGGGGUCUUAUCUCUGGGCUGCGCUAUCUCCCCACCCAAAGACCACGUCAGCCUUCCGGGCAUUUCUUUCAGAAUUUUAAGCCACAUGUCUGUGUGUGUCUCUCUGUGCGUACAAACACGUCUGUUUAUGUGUGUCCUCACAUCGCUGGGGUCAUGUUGUAUGUGUUGUAAAAAUUACUUUUUAACUUGUGUAAUAUGUGUAUAUAUAUAUAACAAACCCUACCGUCUUAACUGUUUUUGAAUCUACAGCUUGGUGGCAUGAAAUACAUUCAUAUUAACUGUAACUGUCAAUUUCCAGAUGUUUUAUCUUCCCGAGCCGAAACUCUGUCCCCAUUAAACACGAACUUCCCAGUCCCCCUCCCCCAGCACCCACCGUUCUGUUUCUGCCUCUAUGAAGCUGACAACCCAGGGACCGCGUACGAGUGGAAUCAGCAGGAUUUGCCCUUAUGUGUCCGGUUAUUUCCCUCGGCACAGUGUCCUCAGGGUUCAUCCGUGUCACAGCAAGCGUCUGACUUUCCUUCCUCUUCCAGGCUGGGUCACAGCCCUUCAUGUGGAUGGACCACGUUUUAUUCACUCAUCUGGCAACGGUCCUUCUGGCUGUUGUGAAUAACGUGGCUGUGAACGUAUACGUCUUGUUCUGUUCAAAGCAAAACACACAUUUUCAUUCUUUCAAAACUGUCCUUAUGUUUCCUGUGGAAUGCCCUGGACUCAGGGUUUGGGGGAGCCGGUCAUUAUAUCACACCCGGGGUUUUCGCUGGAAAGAGCCUCAAGCCGUAUGUGCUCUCCCGACGCCAUCCUCCCCACAGUUGGCUGUUGAGAAUUUUUUCUCUUUGGAGGACUGUGGGGUCUCUCUAGCCUGGCCAUCCUGAGUCCAAGUUUCUUUUCCCUGACAACAGACAAAUGAGCGAGUAGCCCUCUCAGUCCACGAGCUGACCCUUCAGAGGCUGGGGUUGCAAACCCUGAUCCUUGGUGGGCUGGGGUCGGCCUCUGGGAGCCCCUCCUUCAGAGUGAGGGGCUGGUGCAGGUUUUCUUUUCUCCUCACUGAGAGUUUUUUCUGCUGCCUGAGAGAAGAGGGUGAAGGCUCCCGGUAAAGAGGAUGGGGUGCAGGCUCCUGAGCCCACCGACAGCCCCGUCCAGCGCUGACCUGUGGGAAAACGGCCUCUUGGCAGGGCUGUGGCCAGGCAGAAUAUUGAAGCGAAGGAGCCCGACAGUAGCCGCUCUCUCAGGGUCUAAGGCAACAGAGAGCUCCCAGGUGUGGCCGCAAGACUGGCAGCAGAAAGGCACUUUUGUAAGAAGAGGGAUGGGAGAAGCACAGAGGUGGACCUGGAAAAGUCAAAGGGAAGCUGUGGGUGGAAGCUCCGGAUGGCUGACCCCGAGUUCCAGCUCAAAGAACAGAGAUGGGUGGGGUGGGAAACACAGCGGAAAGAGCGGCCCGUGAACGAGGGUCCUCGGCAGCAGGACCGCCCUCCUCACGGACAGAUGGCAAGUGCUGGGGAGGCGGGGGAGGAACCAGCCUGUCACCACCGGCGGGAACGUGGGCGGGCGCAGCCACUGCAAAACAGCCGGUCACUCCUCAGAUAACAGGCGCGGACUUCCCACACGACCCAGCAAUCCACGCCUAGAUGUAGCCAAAGAGAAGCAGAAACACGUCCCCCGUAACACGUGUACCUGGUGUUAUUCAUAACAGCGAAAAAGUGGAAACAGCCCCAAGUUCAUCAACAGACAAGAAAAUGUGGUACAUCUACCAGGCGCGGUGGCUCACGCUUUAAUCCCAGCACUUUGGGAGGCCGAGGCAGGCGGAUCACCUGAGGUCAGGAGAUCGAGACCAUCCUGGCCAACAUGAUGAAACCCCGUCUCUACUAAAAAUACAAAAAUUAGCUGAGUGUGGUGGCGGGCGCCUGUCAUCCCAGGUACUCGGGAGGCUGAGGCAGGAGAAUCGCUUGAACUCAGGAGGCGGAGGUUGCAGUGAGCCGAGAUCGCGCCACUGCACUCCAGAAUGGGCGACAGAGCGAGACUCUGCCUCAAAAAGAAAAAAAAAAGUGGUAUAUCUGUGCAGUGUGCUAUUAUGUGAAAAUAAAAAGGAAUGAAGCCCUGUCAUAUGACAACAUGGAUGAGCCGUGAAAAGAUCAUGCUCAGUGAAAGAAGCCACACACAGAAGGCCGCGUAGUGUAUGAUUCCAUUUAUACGAAGAGGCAUUUUUUCCUCAAUGAAGCUGUUUGAAAAAGAAAAAGGGAAAGAGAGGAAGAGAGAGAGGUGCCAGUUGGGGAGGAAAAGAGGAAGAGGAACCUUGUAGAGCAGAGUGCAGGUAGAACUGCAACUGAAAACAGGAACCUGCGGUGCAAACGGCACAGCGUGCACCGUGCUGCCUGUGCGCUCCCCUGUGCGCUCCCCUGUGCGCUGCCCUGUGCGCUGCCCUGUGCGCUCCCCUGUGCGCUCCCCUGUGCGCUGCCCUGUGCGCUUCCCUGU